AGAAGUGGUGGUGUUGGGAUAUAUGGUACGAAUGCAGAUGCUUUCCAAGGUUUUCUUCAAUAUCAUUUCAUACUCCCUCUCGGCUUGACCAACGUGCCCUGUACUUUGCAGAUGCUUUCCAAGGUUUUCUUCAAUAUCAUUUCAUACUCCCUCUCGGCUUGACCAACGUGCCCUGUACUAGGCUUCCAAAUAACUUCAAUGGAAGCUUUUUCGGGAUUUUCGUUCUUCUUGGCCCCGGCUUUAGGUCCGUAAACUGCGGCAAGGAGUUUGGUUUCGCCUUGAGCCCAUGUGGCUGAGCCAUGGGCUCGGUGGAGGACGGAAUGAGAGCAAGCUAGGGGCCUCAGUUGAUUGGGUGUCCUUCCGUCAGGUCUGUCGAUCUCCAUAAAAUUGAUAAAAAUAAAACCACUCUUCCUUCUAAACUCACUCAACUGAGCACAAGAAAAAAC
rnacentral:lncRNA from 1 species